GAGUUUGAUCUUGGCUCAGAUUGAACGCUGGCGGCAUGCCUUACACAUGCAAGUCGAACGGCAGCACGGGAGCUUGCUCCUGGUGGCGAGUGGCGAACGGGUGAGUAAUGCAUCGGAACGUAUCCUGGAGUGGGGGAUAACGUAGCGAAAGUUACGCUAAUACCGCAUAUUCUGUGAGCAGGAAAGCGGGGGGACCUUCGGGCCUCGCGCUCUUGGAGCGGCCGAUGUCGGAUUAGCUAGUUGGUGAGGUAAAGGCUCACCAAGGCGACGAUCCGUAGCAGGUCUGAGAGGAUGAUCUGCCACACUGGAACUGAGACACGGUCCAGACUCCUACGGGAGGCAGCAGUGGGGAAUUUUGGACAAUGGGGGCAACCCUGAUCCAGCCAUGCCGCGUGAGUGAAGAAGGCC
rnacentral:rRNA from 2 species